GAAGGACUCUGAGUCAGAAUGAUUGGCUAAAGACCACACAGAAACUAAUCCCAUCACCAUAAAACGGAGCCAGUACAAGAAGCAAGAAAAGUUUAUUAGAAGCUCUGGACUUAAAGGGGACUGGAUUUGCUGAGUGAGGACUCUAAUGCUACAAGUUGAAGAUUCCAAGAAGCUGCUGGAUCAAAGGGUUCUCGGUCUCUUAGUCGCCACCUGGAGGAAAUCCUUCGCACUGAACAUUGGCACCAGAUUUCUCCUCUCAAGUAAAGCUUUAUGGUGUUAAGACACUGGGAU